rnacentral:rRNA from 1 species
AGUGAACGCUGGCGGUAGGCCUAACACAUGCAAGUCGAACGGCAGCACAGUAAGAGCUUGCUCUUACGGGUGGCGAGUGGCGGACGGGUGAGGAAUACAUCGGAAUCUACUUUUUCGUGAGGGAUAACGUAGGGAAACUUACGCUAAUACCGCAUACGACCUACGGGUGAAAGCAGGGGAUCUUCGGACCUUGCGCGAUUGAAUGAGCCGAUGUCGGAUUAGCUAGUUGGCGGGGUAAAGGCCCACCAAGGCGACGAUCCGUAGCUGGUCUGAGAGGAUGAUCGGCCACACUGGAACGGAGACACGGUCCAGACGCCUACGGGAGGCAGCAGUGGGGAAUAUUGGACAAUGGGCGCAAGCCUGAUCCAGCCAUACCGCGUGGGUGAAGAAGGCCUUCGGGUUGUAAAGCCCUUUUGUUGGGAAAGAAAAGCAGCAGGUUAAUACCCCGCUGUUCUGACGGUACCCAAAGAAUAAGCACCGGCUAACUUCGUG